rnacentral:rRNA from 1 species
GUUAAGUACUUAAGGUACGGAGCCGAAGGGAAACCGAGUCUGAAUAGGGCGACAUAGUCGCUGGGCGUAGACGCGAAACCUGGUGAUCUAAGCCUGUCCAGGGUGAAGCUGUGGUAAGACACAGUGGAGGCCCGAACUCACCGCCGUUGAAAAGUUGGGAGAUGAGGUAGGUUUAGGGGUGAAAAGCCAAUCGAACCAGGAGAUAGCUCGUUCUCUCCGAAAUGCAUUUAGGUGCAGCCUUGAGUGUUUAAUUAUGGGGGUAGAGCACUGAAUGAACUAGGGGGCAUAUUGCUUACUGAAUUCAAUCAAACUCCGAAUACCAUAAUUCAAAGCUCAGGAGUGAGACUAUGGGAAUUAACUUCCAUUGUCAAAAGGGAAACAACCCAGACCACCAGCUAAGGUCCCUAAUUAUAACUAAGUGGGAAAGGAGGUGGAGAUUCACAAACAACCAGGAGGUUGGCUUAGAAGCAGCCAUACCUUUAAAGAGUGCGUAAUAGCUCACUGGUCGAGAGUCUCUGCGCCGACAAUGUAACGGGGCUAAGUUAUAAACCGAAGCUGUGGAAUUGCGCAAGCAAUUGGUAGGAGAGCGUUCUGUAGGCCGUUGAAGGAGAAGCGUAAGCAACUCUGGAGGUAUCAGAAGUGAGAAUGCAGGAAUAAGUAGCGAGAAAGGGGGCGAGAAUCCCCCUCGCCGGAAGACCAAGGUUUUCAGGGUAAAGCUUGUCUUCCCUGAGUAAGCCGGGACCUAAGCCGAGGCUAAAAUGCGUAGGCGAAUGGAAAACAGAUUAAUAUUUCUGUGCCAGUUAUAUUUUGUGAUGGAGGGACGCAGAAGGGUAUGUGCGCGGGAGAACGGAAGUUCCCGUAAAAGCAUGUAGAGUGGUCUAGUAGGAAAAUCCGCUAGAUUAGACUUGAGGUGUGAUAUAUAGUCGUAAGAUGAAUGCACAAAUCCCACGCUGCCGAGAAAAGCUUCUAACGUUAAGGUAUAACUGCCCGUACCCGAAACCGACACAGGUGGUCAGGAUGAGAAAUCUAAGGCGGACAGGCUAACUCUCGUUAAGGAACUCUGCAAAAUUGCCCCGUAACUUUGGGAGAAGGGGUGCCCCUGGAUGUUAGUAAUUACGCAUUAUGAAGCAUUUGGGGGUCGCAGUGAAGAGGCUCAAGCAACUGUUUAACAAAAACACAGGUCUAUGCUAAGCUGUAAGGCGAUGUAUAUGGGCUGACACCUGCCCAGUGCCGGAAGGUUAAGAGGAGGAGUGAGAGCUCCGAAUUGAAGCCCCGGUGAACGGCGGCCGUAACUAUAACGGUCCUAAGGUAGCGAAAUUCCUUGUCGGGUAAGUUCCGACCUGCACGAAUGGUGUAAUGAUUUGAGCGCUGUCUUGACGGGAGGCCUGGUGAAAUUGUACUACCGGUGAAGAUACCGGUUACCUACAGUAGGACGGAAAGACCCCAUGGAGCUUUACUGUAGCUUGGUAUUGGGUUUUGGCAUUGCAUGUAUAGGAUAGUUGGGAAACUAUGAAGAUAUGGCGCUAGCUGUAUUGGAGUUGUCGGUGGAAUACCAACCAUUCAAUGUCGAAAUUCUAAUCUGUGGUUUGCAGCCACGGAAACAGUGCUAGGUGGGCAGUUUGACUGGGGCGGUCGCCUCCGAAAGAGUAACGGAGGCGUUCAAAGGUUCUCUCAGGUUGGAUGGAAAUCAACCGCAGAGUGCAAUGGCAUAAGAGAGCUUAACUGCGAGACUGACGGGUCGAGCAGGUGCGAAAGCAGGACAUAGUGAUCCGGCGAUUCCGAAUGGAAGGGUCGUCGCUCAACGGAUAAAAGCUACCCUGGGGAUAACAGGCUGAUUUUGCCCGAGAGUCCAUAUCGACGGCAAAGUUUGGCACCUCGAUGUCGGCUCAUCGCAUCCUGGGGCUGGAGAAGGUCCCAAGGGUUGGGCUGUUCGCCCAUUAAAGCGGUACGUGAGCUGGGUUCAGAACGUCGUGAGACAGUUCGGUCCCUAUCUGUCGUGGGCGCA